GCACGGCUAGUUUAAUGGUCAGAAUGUCGCACCUUAAGACCCGUUCUCGUUGGCAGGGGCGAGGCAGGAGCGAAGACGCGGGUUCGAUUCCCGAGCCGCUGCC